GAUGAAGAACGUAGCGAAAUGCGAUAAGUAGUGUGAAUUGCAGAAUUCAGUGAAUCAUCGAAUCUUUGAACGCACAUUGCGCCCCUUGGUAUCCCGAGGGGCAUGCCUGUUCGAGCGUCAUUUCACCACUCAAGCCUCGCUUGGUAUUGGGCAACGCGGUCCGCCGCGUGCCUCAAAUCGACCGGCUGGGUCUUCUGUCCCCUAAGCGUUGUGGAAACUAUUCGCUAAAGGGUGUUCGGGAGGCUACGCCGUAAAACAACCCCAUUUCUAAGGUUGACCUCGGAUCAGGUAGGGAUACCCGCUGAACUUAAGCAUAUCAAUAAGCGGAGGA
rnacentral:misc_RNA from 1 species